ACGGCUACCUUGUUACGACUUCACCCCAAUUAUCGAACCCACCUUCGGCCGCGCCCUCCUUGCGGUUAGGCUACGGACUUCGGGUGUUCCCGACUCUCAUGGUGUGACGGGCGGUGUGUACAAGGCCCGGGAACGUAUUCACCGCGGCAUGCUGAUCCGCGAUUACUAGCGAUUCCGACUUCAUGCAGUCGAGUUGCAGACUGCAAUCUGAACUGGGACGGCUUUUAGGGGUUCGCUCCACUUCGCAGUUUUGCAUCCCUCUGUUUACCGCCAUUGUAUUACGUGUGUAGCCCAGGACAUAAGGGGCAUGAUGAUUUGACGUCGUCCCCACCUUCCUCCGUUUUGUCAACGGCAGUCUCGCUAGAGUGCUCUUGCGUAGCAACUAACAAUAAGGGUUGCGCUCGUUGCGGGACUUAACCCAACAUCUCACGACACGAGCUGACGACAACCAUGCACCACCUGUCUCUGCUUUCCCCGAAGGGCACCUGACGUAUCUCUACCUCGUUAGCAGGAUGUCAAGCCCUGGUAAGGUUCUUCGCGUUGCAUCGAAUUAAACCACAUAAUCCACCGCUUGUGCGGGC
rnacentral:rRNA from 1 species